GGAUGUGAGGGCAAUCUGGCUGUGACAUCUGUCACCUCAUUGAUAGCCAGGGUUGAUUCAGCUGAUCUGGCUGGCAAGGCAGGUGUCCCCUUCCUCCCUCACCGCUCCAUGUGUGUCCUUCCCGAAGCUGCAUGCUCGGUUGAAGAAGAUGAUGUUCCCUGAAUAGAGUAGGGCUGGUCUUUGGUCAAGGGUUUAUGAGUAGCUGCACUCCUCCUGCUAGACCCUCCAAACAAGCUCUCAAGGAUGUGAUUUUUAAUGAUCAAUUAGUAUUACAAUGGGUGGAAUACUAAUCUCU
rfam:Rattus norvegicus chromosome 17, whole genome shotgun sequence.